CGAUUUAUCCUCACUUGUUUUCUGGUGCUCCUACCCCAGAAAUUUAGGAGAUAGCCUUUUUGCUUUCAAUAUCUUACUGAAAAAAGGAGCAUACAUCCUAUUGCAUUCAUUUGGUCUUCAAAUUCCUUACGGCCCUUUUGCAUUGCCUAUUCUUAGCAGAAUUCCAAGUCUUUGGAGCUUCAUGAGAAAAUGGCGCACAGGAGUGAUACAAAUGUUAAAUCUCUGUUCUUGACUUUGAUAUUGCUUUUUUGCUCUUUGCUGGCUCAGGAGAAGACAUUAGUAGAUACUGAAUUAAGACUUCAUCAGUGUGUCCGUACUUCAUUCAUUGAGAAUCCUUACAGCUAUUUUUACUGCAUAUAGUGAUAAUUACUCCUGUUGGCAGAGCAGAACUAAUCUAAUCUUUUUUGGCAGCUGAAACCUGUGAAGGAGCCAGGAAUGAUGUCUGUUGAAUUUUUAACCCUGAACAUGCAAUUCCAUUGUUACCACAAUGGGCUCCCACUUUGUUUGAGUACCUAGUAAUGUUAACGAUCAUAUAGGUAUUAAAAUUUGUUAAGUUUAAUAGAGCUAUAACACAUGCCUACUUUGGUGACCCUGCUUUUGGGAUCAGUCUGUUAGAUGGCAGGUGUUGGGGGACUGUCUGGCUUGGCUUGCAAAGAGGAGCCCUCAAUAUAAGAACAACUCUGUCUGCGGGUACCUAUUUUUUUUUCUUUUAUUGUAUAUGGCUGUGUAUGUAUAUGUGUAUUUUCUUUAUAUGUGUAUAUAGCAACAGCAACAGAAUGGAAAUAAGGGAGAUCUUCCCAGCUAAUCUUUUGUCAUCAUCACCCUUAGGACAGAAAAAGUCAGGAGCCUAUGCUCUGCACUAAGUGCUGAGAUCUUGGACGAGUGAAAGUAUUCUGGUUUUCACUUGCUUGAAUGGUGUUGAUGUGUUGCAGUUCCAUGUGAAUGUCUAAUGGUAGAAUUUCAUCUUCAGAACACUUUAUGAUGGUCUCUGAACUCCCGUAAGAGUACUUUUAAUACAGAAGCUAUGUCUAGGUACAGAAUAUGGUCCCUACUAAUAGUUUCAUUUUAUUGAAGUAGUUCAGUGCUAGAAUAUACUCUCUGGGAAGUACCUCGAACACUAUAGUAAUAGAGUCUAUGGAAUUGGUUUUCUUUUCUUUUUUUUUUUUCUUUUGCAUUUAGUCUUUCACUUCAUUAGAAGCCUGGCUAGACAAAUCUAUAUUUUCUCCGGGCAGUUGUAGUCCUGCCUGUGCUUUUUGUGUCUAAUUAGUCAUUUCUAUUCAGUUUCUUUUGUGAAGAAUUUCUACACAUUUCUGUCAGUAUUCAUAACAACACACUAUGUUGACAAAGCCUCAAGUAAAUGUUUAUUUUUGUGUCAAAUAGCAAAUGUCACAGUAGAAAACAGCACACUUUUUGUGUGGAAUUGAGUAUAAUAGGGUUUAUCUUCUCAGUUCCAAUUUAAGUUCAUACAAAUAAAUUAUCAAACAUAUAAACGAUAGCUUCAUCUUCUGAUGUUAGAUUUUUUGUUUUUAUUUUUUCUCAAACUUUUUCUUCGUUUCAAUAAAUAUUGUCUUAAUACCUCCUAGGAAAUUAAAUUCUCAGCAGGAUGGACCAGAAGCCACUAAUGCUCUAACCUGUUCUAUAAAAAAGGCUCAUUGCAGGAGUUGUAACAUGUCAGCAGCACCGGCAAUAACAACAUGAUCUGUUGGUAGAAGUUUUCUUUGCUUGAAGAACAUAAGGACUUUUCUUUCGGCAUGUUGUGAAAUAUUUGGGAUGAAGAAAAGUGAACUUUUUGAAGCAUUCGAUUUAUUUGAUGUGAGAGAUUUUGGAAAGGUAAGGAUCUUUUAGCAAUUAUACCCUGACUAAAACUCAUGUUCUGCGGCUUAAGGAUAAGUCUUUGUAGGUGUAGUGUAGAAGUUGUAACCGUGAAUGGGCAGCCAUUAAAAAGAAAGAAAG